GUGCUUGCUUCAGCAGCACAUAUACUAAAACUGGAACCACACAAAGAUUAGCAUGGCCCUUGUACAAGGAUGACACACAAAUUCAUGAAGCAUUUCGUAUUUUU
ensembl:snRNA U6 U6 spliceosomal RNA